UACGUAGGGGGCAAGCGUUGUCCGGAUUUAUUGGGCGUAAAGCGCGCGCAGGUGGUUUCUUAAGUCUGAUGUGAAAGCCCACGGCUCAACCGUGGAGGGUCAUUGGAAACUGGGGAACUUGAGUGCAGAAGAGGAAAGUGGAAUUCCAAGUGUAGCGGUGAAAUGCGUAGAGAUUUGGAGGAACACCAGUGGCGAAGGCGACUUUCUGGUCUGUAACUGACACUGAGGCGCGAAAGCGUGGGGAGCAAACAGG
rnacentral:rRNA from 1 species